GAAGCUGACCAGACAGUCGCCGCUUCGUCGUCGUCCUCUUCGGGGGAGACGGGCGGAGGGGAGGAAAGUCCGGGCUCCAUAGGGCAGGGUGCCAGGUAACGCCUGGGGGGGGAAACCCACGACUAGUGCAACAGAGAGCAAACCGCCGAUGGCCCACGCGAGUGGGAUCAGGUAAGGGUGAAAGGGUGCGGUAAGAGCGCACCGCGCGGCUGGUAACAGUCCGUGGCACGGUAAACUCCACCCGGAGCAAGGCCAAAUAGGGGUUCAUAAGGUACGGCCCGUACUGAACCCGGGUAGGCUGCUUGAGCCAGUGAGCGAUUGCUGGCCUAGAUGAAUGACUGUCCACGACAGAACCCGGCUUAUCGGUCAGUUUCACCU
rnacentral:RNase_P_RNA from 2 species